GACGAACGCUGGCGGCGUGCUUAAUACAUGCAAGUCGAACGGAAAGGCCCUGCUUUUGUGGGGUGCUCGAGUGGCGAACGGGUGAGUAACACGUGAGUAACCUGCCCUUGACUUUGGGAUAACUUCAGGAAACUGGGGCUAAUACCGGAUAGGAGCUCCUGCUGCAUGGUGGGGGUUGGAAAGUUUCGGCGGUUGGGGAUGGACUCGCGGCUUAUCAGCUUGUUGGUGGGGUAGUGGCUUACCAAGGCUUUGACGGGUAGCCGGCCUGAGAGGGUGACCGGCCACAUUGGGACUGAGAUACGGCCCAGACUCCUACGGGAGGCAGCAGUGGGGAAUAUUGCACAAUGGGCGGAAGCCUGAUGCAGCAACGCCGCGUGCGGGAUGACGGCCUUCGGGUUGUAAACCGCUUUCGCCCGUGACGAAGCGUGAGUGACGGUAAUGGGUAAAGAAGCACCGGCUAACUACGUG
rnacentral:rRNA from 1 species